rnacentral:rRNA from 1 species
CUGGGCUAACACGUGCUACAAUGGGUGGUACAGAGAGUUGCCAGCCGUGAUGUGGAGCUAAUCUCAGAAAACUAUUCUUAGUUCGGAUUGUACUCUGCAACUCGAGUACAUGAAGUUGGAAUCGCUAGUAAUCGCGAAUCAGCAUUGUCCCGGUGAAUACUUUCUCGGGUCUUGUACCCCCCGCCCGUCAACCCAGGAAAUUUGGUUGCCCCUGAACUACCAAGCCUAACCCUAAGGAGGGAUGCUCCAAGGGUGUGAUUAACGAUUGGGGUGAAAUCGUAACAAGGUAUCCGUACGGGAACGUGCGGUAGGAUCACCUC